GACGAACGCUGGCGGCGUGCCUAAUACAUGCAAGUAGAACGCUGAAGGAGGAGCUUGCUUCUCUGGAUGAGUUGCGAACGGGUGAGUAACGCGUAGGUAACCUGCCUGGUAGCGGGGGAUAACUAUUGGAAACGAUAGCUAAUACCGCAUAACAGUAGAUAUCGCAUGAUAUCUACUUGAAAGGUGCAAUUGCAUCACUACCAGAUGGACCUGCGUUGUAUUAGCUAGUUGGUGAGGUAACGGCUCACCAAGGCGACGAUACAUAGCCGACCUGAGAGGGGGAUCGGCCACACUGGGACUGGGACACGGCCCAGACUCCUACGGGAGGCAGCAGUAGGGAAUCUUCGGCAAUGGACGGAAGGCUGACCGAGCAACGCCGCGUGAGGGAAGAAGGUUUUCGGAUCGUAAAGCUCUGUUGUAAGAGAAGAACGAGUGUGAGAGUGGAAAGUUCACACUGUGACGGUAUCUUACCAGAAAGGGACGGCUAACUACGUG
rnacentral:rRNA from 1 species